CAAUAGCGUAUAUUAAAGUUGUUGCGGUUAAAAGCUCGUAGUUGGAUUUCUGCCGAGGAAGACCGGUCCGCCCUCUGGGUGAGUAUCUGGCUCUGCCUGGGCAUCUUCUUGGAGAACGUAGCUGCACUUGACUGUGUGGUGCGGUAUCCAGGACUUUUACUUUGAGGAAAUUAGAGUGUUCACGGCAGGCAAACGCCUUGAAUAUAUUAGCAUGGAAUAAUAAUAUAGGACCUUUGUUCUAUUUUGUUGGUUUCUAGAGCGAAGGUAAUGAUUAAUAGGGAUAAUUGGGGGCGAUUUGUAUUAACGCGUCAGAGGUGGAAUUCUUGGAUUGCGUUACGACAAACUACUGCGAAAGCAUUUGCCAAGGAUGUUUUCAUUGAUCAAGAACGAAAGUUAGGGGAUCGAAGACGAUUAGAUACCAU
rnacentral:rRNA from 1 species